CCUACGGGAGGCAGCAGUAGGGAAUCUUCCACAAUGGGCGAAAGCCUGAUGGAGCAACGCCGCGUGGGUGAAGCAGGUCUUCGGAUCGUAAAACCCUGUUGUUAGAGAAGAAAGUGCGUGAGAGUAACUGUUCACGUUUCGACGGUAUCUAACCAGAAAGCCACGGCUAACUACGUGCCAGCAGCCGCGGUAAUACGUAGGUGGCAAGCGGUAUCCGGAUGUAUUGGGCGUAAAGGGAACGCAGGCGGUCUUUUAUGUCUGAUGUGAAAGCCUUCGGCUUAACCGGAGUAGUGCAUUGGAAACGGGGAGACUGGAGGGCAGAAGAGGAGAGUGGAACUCCAUGUGUAGCGGUGAAAUGCGUAGAUAUAUGGAAGAACACCAGUGGCGAAAGCGGCUCUCUGGUCUGUAACUGACGCGGAGGUUCGAAAGCGUGGGUAGCAAACAGGAUUAGAUACCCCUGUAGUC
rnacentral:rRNA from 1 species